rnacentral:lncRNA from 10 species
AAUCUGCUGGGGACUUAAUCUUGGAGUUUCCAGUCUCCAGAAUUAUAAGAAAUAAAUUUCUAUUAUUUAUAAAUUAACCAAUCUAAGGUAUUCUGUUUAGCAGCCCGAAUAAUGGACUAAGACAGACGCCUAACAUAUGAUCUAUCCUAGAUAAUGCUCUCUUCGCAUUCAGGAAGAAUGUAUAUUCUGCUUCUGAAUGGAAAAAAACAAAAUCAGGAUCAGGCACGGUGGCGCAUAAGGCCAGGAGUUUGAGACGUCUAGGCAACACAGCAAGAUCCAUUUGGUCCAAAGUGAGAUUCCAGUGUUUCCUCCAGAAAGGCACAUUAUUCCUCCACCAUGGUCUUCUUUUUCCUGUGUACCUUGACCCUGUAGGAGAUGAGACUUCUAAAGUGAUUCCUUUCCCUCUUUUCUCCUCAUCACCCCUUCCCACUCUCUAAGGUGAGAUCCUUGGAACAUUUUUACGUCUCUUCUCCCUCUCCACCUAUAACUCCUAGGUUUUCCUGGAAUUCUCUAGGAUUUUAGUCCCAGAUGAUUACUGGAAUUUUCCUUGCUGUAUGUCCCUCCUGUUUCCAAAGGACUUAUGUAGCAUUUACACUACAUAACCCCCAGUAGCCAUGAAUAUCCACUUAACCUGUCUAUACUGGGUUCGUUUUUCAUCAGUAUUGUGUUUCCUCUCAUCUCCCUAUAUCUUGAAGUCUCAAUCUAACUCUCACUUUUGAAGAUCUUUGCUUGAUUAUUUUCUUCAGAUGGGAAUUGCUGGUGGUAUACUCUUCACAUUCUUUUGUGUUAACAGUUUCCUUCUUUUGCCCUGGUGGGUGAAUACCAUCUUGAAUAAGUAGAGGAUCAUAAGUUGUUUUCAGCUUAGCUAUUGGCAAAUGUCAUUUCCAUUGUCUACUGGCUUCCAAUGUUGACAGUAAGAAGUCAGAUGCCAAUUUUCCCCUUUGCAGAUAAUGUGUACUUUCUGUUGAUUAGCUUGUCAGCAUUUUGUUCUGUUUUUGUUUUAAACUUUCAGGAAUCUUACCAGGACAUGCCCAAGUGAGUGUUUUCCUUUAUCAAUCAAGUCUAGAACUCUGGGAGUCAUUUCAAUCUCUAGACUCCAGGGUCUCUUCAGUUUAGGAAUAAUUUUUUGUAUUACACACUUUAUAAUUAUUCCCUCUCCUUUGUUUCCUUUUUUCCUGAGAUUGGUAUCAUUGCUCAUGGUAGGUCUCCUGGAUCCAGCCCCAAGUCUCAUCUUUCCUCUUAUUUGUCCACCAUUUUGCUUGAUCCAUAUGGUGAGAAUUUUUUCCAAUGUAUUUCUAGUCACUAGUUCAUAUCUCUCCAAUGACCAUUCUCUCUUUAACUCAUCUACCAAAUUGUUCAAUGGAACAGCUGCCAGAUAAAGUGCAGAACAACUAAUUAAAUGUGAAUCUCAAACAAACAUUGAAAUUUUUAGUGUUUUCAGGUGCUGGUUCCAUGGCUCUUCCUGAGCCGAAAAUAAGGAAACUCCAUAGACCUUGUCCACUGGAACUCGUUCCCAUCUACCCUCCACUCUAUCCAGGGUGAUGGAUCUCUGCAGUAAGUGGAAGAGUUCUUCAUGGCCCCCAAGGUUAUAUCCAUCUAGAACUUCAGCACGUAAUUUCAUCUGGAAAUAGUGCCUUUGCGGAUAUAAGUUAGGUAAAACUGAAGAUGAGAUCAUACUGGAUUAGGAUGGGAUCUAAAUCCAAUGAAAAUGUCUUCAUAAAAAACAGGAAAGAACCCAUAGAAACACAAGGAAGAAGGUCAUGUGAAGAUGGAGGCAGAGAUUGGAGGGAUGCAGCCACCGGCCCAGGAAUGCCAGCAGCCACCCAGAAGCUGGAAGGAAAUGAGGGAUUCUCUCCUAGAACCUUUAGAGAGAACAUGGUCCUGUGAACAGCUUGAUUUUGGACUUGCCCAUAGCUUGUAUACUCUUACUUUGGAUACAAUUUUAUCCAAACUUGGCUAAACAGUUUCUCAGCCUAUGGAAAAUUUAAAAUGGAGAAGAUUCAACUCGAUUCUUACAGAUUCAAAGCAAGAAAAUGAUGGGAACAUAGGAGGAGACCAAGAAAGCCUAUAAAAAGCAAAAAUAUGAAGUGAACAUUGUGGUAGCUUUAAGAUGUUUAGUGUAGCUGCAGGCACCCUAUACACAUGAAAACCCCCAAGGGGAAUCCCCAUAUCACAGUGUAGUGUGAUAUUUGACAUUCGUGAUCAUCUAGAGAUGUACAGAAAAGGUGAAUCUGUGUUCUGUAUAUUCUGCCUAAGGCAAAGAAAUGUUUAGCUCUCUUUAAAAUAGUUCCAUAAUUUUUUCUAAAAAGCUUUGCUUGAAAACUGUAAGCUUCCCAUAUCUGGAGCAUUUCACUUUAAAUAUUUGGAUAAAUAUGUUAUCUUCUUACUUGGACAUUUCAUGUGUUUAGGGAUUGUCUUCUAAAUUCUUCCUAAUUCAUAUAGCUGCUAACACUUCCCGCAGAGCUAAACCAUUACAGAUAUGAAAUAAAGACCUAUUGAUUUGACUUACUUUUACUUGUAAAACCUUCUGAGUGUUAUAACCUCAUUUAAUCUUUCAGCAUUUACAGUUUCAAGAGUUUGUGUCACAAUUAGAAGAAUUCAGCUGCACCUCCAAGUGACAGCAGUUGCUCUGGUUGGUGGGUGAUCUCAGGAGGCUUGAGAAUUGCUUUGUCUGUGAGGGAAGUAAGACAUUUUCAGAGCCCCACUUUAGAAGGUGUGAACUGGCUAGAUAAUGAACCCCAGGGCUAACGCUGCUAUAGCAGUGGGAAGGAGGUGAUGGGUUUUCAGUUUGGACCUCAAACAUCAAUACCCUCCUGGUACGGGGAGGAACAGAGUCCCUCCUUUACUUCUCCAUUAGAAAGAAUGAGAUGGCAAGACAAUGAAACAGGCAAAGUGAACAGAGAUGCAAGACAAAAUUCAGGUGAGAGAGCCAGAGCAUCACUCAGCCAUUCCUGACAUGUAAAACAGGCAACUAGAAAUUUGCAGAAAGGAAGCGAAGUCUCCAUAAAGAUGUUUUUAAAGUGAGCUUGAAGUAUUUGGAGACAAUUCAGUGUUACAUAAAAUCUGCAAAUCUCUGGAUAAAGAAGCAGAGAUCCCAGCAUGGGACAAAUGGAGCCUCAAAAGUGGGAAGAAGACAGAGAAGACCAGGGCAGAAUGCAUCUCUUCCUUUCUCUUGGCUUUCCUGGAUAAGGACUGCAUCAUUCCUGUGGAAGGACAGGCCAUCAGCUCCGAAACACUGUAUGUAUUUUCCAGUAUAUACUGCUAGCUGUGUGAUGUUGGGAAAAUUUGUUACCCUGUCUAACCCCCACUUCCCUCAUCUGUAAAAUGGAAAUAAUGAUAGUACCUACCUAUCUCAUAGGUGGCAACUACAAGGGGCAGCACACUCAGGGAAUUAAGGAAGUUUCAGUGAACAUCAACUUUAUGAACACAGUGUUCAUAAAGGCAGGUCAGUGCAGUGGUUUGGGAGCCAGGAGAAGCACGUGGGCCGGAGUGUGCCUGCAGGAGACAAGGUCAGAGAUGUUGCUAAUAAUGGAGAAUAAAGGAUGCAUUCUCAUUACUGACCUUGGAGUCGUUCAUUCAUUCCCAGAAUGUGUUUUGUCAGCUUACUAAAACACUAAGUUAAAUAAUCCCAGGUUUUGUUUAUU